ACUGCCCGGGCUAACUGCGGUCACUUCUCACAAUUCCCUGCCUGCGACAGCCCCGGGGGCCGCGGAGGAGCGAGCAAGACCUGGAGGCGCUGAGUGCGUGCCCAGGCGCCCCUCGGCGGGGCGCACUCACCUGGCAGCUGGCUCGGCGGCGCACGGGCGGCAAGCGCUCUCGGAAGUGGCGGCUGGGUGCGCCCAGCCUGCGCGCCGUUUUGUUCCGCUCCGGGGAAGGCGUGUCCCGGGCCACGCCAACCAGUGGGCUUUGCACACUGCACCACUCCAGGGCUGAUGUCAUGGCGCGAAGCCCGGCGGUGCUGCCCUCCCAGGCCCCAGGACGGCCCGGUCGGCAGGGGCGGGGGCAGGAGUCGCCGACUCUGGGGGUGCCCAGCGCUUGUGCUGCGGUCCCACUGUGCGCCCUGUCGCCGCCACCGCGGAAAACGUCUUGCACGUGCGAGGGACAUUUCAGGAGUUUCCUGUCGGUCAGAGAAGCCAAAAAUGUCCUAGGACACUAGUCAGAGAAAAAGGCCUUUGAAAACCGUGGAAGCUGUUUUGCAACUCAGGACCCUCUCUUCUCCACUGGUAGGUGUUCUCUCCCCAAGAUCCCUUUCCCUAUCCUUCACGCAUCCAGACAGAGAAAGCUUGUAUUGAGCACCCACUAUGUGCCAAGCAUUGGGCUAGGUGCCGAGAGAUAUGAAUGGAGACUUUACAAGGAGGGGAGAGAUCAAGUGUGCACCCAGAUGUGGGAGAGGAGACCGGGACAGGAAGAGCACCGUGAGUUCAGACAGGGAGAGAACUCCGUUGUGGGGAUUAGCAAAGGCUUACAUGGGAGGUGACAGGCUAAUGAGCUGGGCCAUAAAGGGCAGUUAGACUCAUAAUGUAUGGAGAUGGACAGCAUUCUGGUUACCUGUUGCUGGGCAACAAACCACCCCAAACUUGGCAGUGUAACAGAGCAGUCAUUUGUUUUUCUCUCUUCUAGGGUUUUACCAAGCUCAGCUGAUUGUUCUUGCUGGGAUUUCUCCUGUGAUUACAGUCAGAUGAGAGCUGGCUGGAUUCUUCACAGAGUCUGCCUUACUCCUGUGGCUGUAGGCUGAGGCUGGCUGUCAGCUGGGACCUCAGCUGAGGCUGUUAGCCAGAAUCCCUACAUGUGGUCUCUCCAUGGGGCCUGGACUCUCUCACAGCAUGGUGGCUGGUUGCAAGGACAAGCAUCUCAAGAGACAGCAGGAGAAAGUUGUCUCACCUUUUGAAAACUGGCCUCGCAAGGCCCAUAGCAGAUCCUCCCCUGUGCUCCACUAGUUGAGACAGUCACGAAGCCCCACCCAGUUUCAAAGAAGGGGACAGAGACGCCAUUUCCUGAUAUGUGAGUGGCAAGGUUCUGGAAGAGCAUGUGGAAUGGAAAGCGUUUGGGGAAAAUACAACUUGCUGCUGUCAGGAAGGUCAUUUCAGGCAGAUAUCUUCAUUGAUGGUACCUUCGGAAACGUAUUUUUAGGAAAGAAAGCAGUUUUUACAGACUUGGCAUUGCUAAGGGAAACAUAAGGUUUUAGAAGUAUUUACUGAGCCAUCUUCACUAAGAGAAGAUGCUAAGGAAGAAGGAGAUGCCUUUUGAAGUAGACUGCAAGGGGGAAACAGGAGGCUGGGAUGGAUGGCAGCUCACAGCUGGCAAAGGCAGUGGACUAGCAAUGAAGGAUGAAAGCCUACCAAGACUGAUUCUUAGAGGGGGAAGAAUUGACUUUGUGUUCUUAUAGCAAGUGGCCAGGAAUAACCAGAGGCCAUGUCCAAGCUGAGACCUCAAAAACAGUAGUAGGCAGGGGCCAAACCAGAAAGCAACAGCUAACAAAAACUGUAUUGCAGCAAGAGAGAUAAGAUAAGCACACAAGUGUAACCACCCAACGGGUUCACAUUGCCUGCUGCCUAGACAGAGCCGACUUAUCAAGACAGGAGAAUAGCAAUGGAGAAAGAGUAAUUCACACAGACCCGGCUGUGCAGGAGACCGGAGUUUUAUUAUUACUCAAAUCAGUCUCUCUGAGCAUUUGGGGAUCAGAGUUUUAAUUUGGCAAGUAGGAGCUUGGGAAGUGGGGAGUGCUAAUUGCUCAGCUUGAAGAUGGAAUCAUAGAGGGUUGAAGUGAAGGAGUGGUCUGCCCCUCCACACCUGUGGGCAUUUCUCAUCAGGUGGAACGAGAGACUUAAGAAAAGAAAGAGACACAGAGACAAAGUAAGUGGGCCCAGGGGACCUGCGCUCAGCAUACAGAGGACUCACGCUGGCACCAGUCUCUGAGUUCCCUCAGUAUUUAUUGAUCAUUAUCUUACCAUCUUGGAAAAGGGGAAGUGGCAGGACAAUAGGGUCAUAGUAGGGAGAAGGUCUGCAGAGAGACAUAUGAAUAAAGAUCUCUGUGACAUGAAUCA
rnacentral:lncRNA from 1 species